rnacentral:piRNA from 1 species
CCUCUUCUCAGUGCAGGAGGACCCUGAAUC